rnacentral:rRNA from 1 species
AGUGAAGCGGCAACAGCUCAAAUUUGAAAUCUGGCCUCCUCGGGGUCCGAGUUGUAAUUUGUAGAGGGUGUUUCGGGCGCGAUGCCGGUCUAAGUUCCUUGGAACAGGACGUCGUAGAGGGUGAGAAUCCCGUAUGCGACCGGCGAUCAAGCCUGUGUGAAGCCCCUUCGACGAGUCGAGUUGUUUGGGAAUGCAGCUCAAAAUGGGUGGUAAAUUUCAUCUAAAGCUAAAUAUUGGCCAGAGACCGAUAGCGGACAAGUAGAGUGAUCGAAAGAUGAAAAGCACUUUGGAAAGAGAGUCAAACAGUACGUGAAAUUGUUGAAAGGGAAGCGCUUGCAAUCAGACCGGUCCGGAGGUGAUCAGCCGCUGCUCGUCAGCGGUGCACUCGCCUGCGAUCCGGCCAGCAUCGGUUUGGGCGGUGGGAUAAAAGUCCCGGGAAUGUAGCUUCCUUCGGGGAGUCUUAUAGCCCGGGUCGCAAUGCCGCCCGCCUGGACCGAGGACCGCGCUUCGGCUAGGAUGCUGGCGUAAUGGUUGCAAGCG